rnacentral:rRNA from 1 species
UCUAGUGGUGAUGCGUUCAUGGGUUACACCCGUACCCAUACCGAACACGAAGGUUAAGACAUGAACGGCUGAUGGUACUGCAUGGGCGACUGUGUGGGAGAGUAAGUGGUCGCUAGGU